GCUGCAACGUUCGUGUUCCUGCGAAGUUUUUUUCUGCAGCAAAUUCAACGACGUGAAUUUAUAUCCGUACGCGCUUAUAUCGUUGCAGGACUGCGGCUAUACAACUGCAGUAUGUUCUUACCCGGUGACGACGCUAAACAACAGUUAAGAUAUUAUUGUAACCUAAUCUAACCUAAUCCGAUACAACAACGCGUAAAGAUCUCAAACCACUCGGAGUAUUUACGAGCCUAAACCCGGACACAAAUUCUUAUCAAAUACAACCGUUUAGUAUGUGCCUUUGCCUACGUUGACACGAAUUUAUUUAUUUUGUAUU